rnacentral:rRNA from 1 species
UACGUAGGGCGCAAGCGUUGUCCGGAAUUAUUGGGCGUAAAGGGCUCGUAGGCGGCCAACUAAGUCAGACGUGAAAUCCCUCGGCUUAACCGGGGAACUGCAUCUGAUACUGGAUGGCUUGAGUUCGGGAGAGGGAUGCGGAAUUCCAGGUGUAGCGGUGAAAUGCGUAGAUAUCUGGAGGAACACCGGUGGCGAAGGCGGCAUCCUGGACCGACACUGACGCUGAGGAGCGAAAGCCAGGGGAGCAAACGGG